CACGUGUCCGUUUUAUAUAAAUACAUAAUCUUAUUUCGAGUUACUAAAUUAUUAAAUAAGUAAAUAAAAAAAAUAUAGAAUUUUUUCAAAAAAAAAAUAAAUAAAUAAAUACAUAUACAUAUUUUUAUAUUAUUUUUUACGCUGAUAAUGCUAUAUUUGCUGUUUUUAUUUUUUUAUUUGAUCCGUUAAAGUUCACAGAUGUACCUAAUGCGUAUAAAACAAAAAAUAAAUAAAAGUAAAUCAACCUAAACGUUGUGUAGAUCGCUGUGAGCUUUGGAAAGAAAAAAACCAACGAAAAAUUCGGGCAUAAAGUGUUCGCAAAACGAUCGAACAGUAAAUAUUUUUCUUACGACGUAUUUUUUUUCUUUUUGCGUAUCCGUUUCUUUUUUCUCUCUUCUCUAUCAAGCCGAGGUUGUUUUUUUUUUCAGCCACCGCAAACCUAUCCGCUGAUUGUCUUCCAUUAGAAAUAUAUAGGAAAACGAAAUCAACGAAAUGGCCAAAAUGAAUAUACGCUGUCCGGUUCGUCGCCAAAUCGAUUAUCGAUAUUUUUAUCUUUUUUUUUUUUUUUUUUUCCGUUUUUGUUUACUUUUUUUAUAUUGAACUAAUUGUAUAUUUGAAGUCGUAUACUAUUUGUUUUUUUUUUUUUUCGUGAAACUUUGUUUCCUAAGUUUUUUUUCCUAAUCCCUCCGGAUAUUGAAUUAUUUAUAAUUGACGAUAUUUGAUAAGUACAUAAUAUAUCGUUACUGCGUUUUCGAACAAAAAACCUUCAAUGAAACGUCCACGCGGAAUAAAAAAAUAAUUUUUCUCCACGGUUUUUGGCCACGUUUCACGUCUCAUUUGUUUCCAGAAAAUAAUACAAAUGGUAUUGCUUUGUUUUUUUUAUUUUGUAACUGAUUUUUCCCAGACAUAUACCCGAGAUACGUUUAUCACGAGAUGGUGUAUAUUUUUCAAAUUAUUGUAAUACCAUCUGCGGACAAAACAAAAAAAUAACAUAAUAUGACCUUUAUAGAUGUUGAUCCGACGUAAAUCUACUCGAAAUAUUAUCAUUUGUACUUUUGGUUUCAAAUGGAAAUAGAUAUUUUUUCGAAUUCUCCCAAUUCCCACCCCAAAAAAGAUAAAAAAAUUCACUGUAUAUUGUAUCUAUUAUAUAUUAAAUAGAUAUAUCUUUUCCCGUCUACUUUUGAAUACUUCAAGCACUUUAAAAACUUGCUCCCACUAGAUCAAUUUAGCUUACGCUCGGGGAUCGGAAUAUUUUCUUUUUUGACUUGUAGAAUUGAUCAAAUUUCAGUUGAAUUUUAAUAGGUACGAAUUUAAUUAUGUUUCUGCUGAACGAGGCGUUGUGUUUUUUAGCAUUAUGUAUCCCUAAAUAUCGAAAAAUGAAGUCACGGGAUAAAAUUUUUUCGAAUUCAACGUGCCUUUGUAUGGGUUAACUUUCAAUACCCUUUUCAAUCAUUUUCAUGCCCAAAGUUCAUGUUUAAUCACAUAGAAUACCUAAUUUUUAAUGUCUGCUUGUAGGUUG